rnacentral:rRNA from 1 species
ACGUCCAUACCACAUUGAAAAUACCGUUUCUCGUCCGAUCACACGAAGUUAAGCAAUGUCAGGCCCGGUCAGUACUUGGGAGGGUGACCACUUGGGAACACCGGGUGUUGUAACCU